rnacentral:rRNA from 1 species
CGUAGGGUGCGAGCGUUAAUCGGAAUUACUGGGCGUAAAGCGUGCGCAGGCGGUUUUGUAAGACAGAUGUGAAAUCCCCGGGCUCAACCUGGGACCUGCAUUUGUGACUGCAAGGCUAGAGUACGGUAGAGGGGGAUGGAAUUCCGCGUGUAGCAGUGAAAUGCGUAGAUAUGCGGAGGAACACCGAUGGCGAAGGCAAUCCCCUGGACCUGUACUGACGCUCAUGCACGAAAGCGUGGGGAGCAAACAGGAUUAGAUACCCUGGUAGUCCACGCCCUAAACGAUGUCAACUGGUUGUUGGGUCUUUACUGACUCAGUAACGAAGCUAACGCGUGAAGUUGACCGCCUGGGGAGUACGGUCGCAAGAUUA